rnacentral:rRNA from 1 species
GACAGAGGGUGCAAACGUUGUUCGGAAUCACUGGGCGUAAAGCGUGCGUAGGCGGUCUUGUAAGUCGGAUGUGAAAGCCCCGGGCUCAACCUGGGAAGUGCACUCGAUACUGCGAGACUUGAGUACUGGAGAGGUUGGUGGAAUUCUCGGUGUAGAGGUGAAAUUCGUAGAUAUCGGGAAGAACAUCGGUGGCGAAGGCGGCCAACUGGACAGAUACUGACGCUGAGGCACGAAAGCGUGGGGAGCAAACAGG